rnacentral:rRNA from 1 species
GACGAACGCUGGCGGCGUGCUUAACACAUGCAAGUCGAACGGAAAGGCCCUGCUUUUGUGGGGUGCUCGAGUGGCGAACGGGUGAGUAACACGUGAGUAACCUGCCCUUGACUUUGUGAUAACUUCAGGAAACUGGGGCUAAUACCGGAUAGGAGCUCCUGCUGCAUGGUGGGGGUUGGAAAGUUUCGGCGGUUGGGGAUGGACUCGCGGCUUAUCAGCUUGUUGGUGGGGUAGUGGCUUACCAAGGCUUUGACGGGUAGCCGGCCUGAGAGGGUGACCGGCCACAUUGGGACUGAGAUACGGCCCAGACUCCUACGGGAGGCAGCAGGGGGGAAUAUUGCACAAUGGGCGGAAGCCUGAUGCGGCAACGCCGCGUGCGGGAUGACGGCCUUCGGGUUGUAAACCGCUUUCGCCUGUGACGAAGCGUGAGUGACGGUAAUGGGUAAAGAAGCACCGGCUAACUACGUG